AAUAUUGCGCAAUGGAGGGAACUCUGACGCAGCGACGCCGCAUGAGCGAUGAAGGUUUUCGGAUCGUAACGCGCUGUCCUAGGGGAAGAAGGUCUUCGGCCAUGACGGUAUCUAAGGAGGAAGCCCCGUCUAACUACGUGCCAGCAGCCGCGGUAAUACGUAGGGGGCAAGCGUUGUCCGGAAUUAUUGGGCGUAAAGGGUACGUAGGCGGCUAUAUAAGUCAGGUGUGAAAUACCAGUGCUUAACACUGGAAUUGCAUUUGAAACUGUGUAGCUUGAGAGCAGGAGAGGAAAGUGGAAUUCCUAGUGUAGCGGUGAAAUGCGUAGAGAUUAGGAGGAACACCAGUGGCGAAGGCGACUUUCUGGACUGUAACUGACGCUGAGGUACGAAAGCGUGGGUAGCGAACA
rnacentral:rRNA from 1 species